CCCUAGAGGGCCUGGCUCCCUGUCCUUCAGACCCGCCGCCCCCCGUUUCGGGCAGUGAAAACCAAGGAGACUAGAUCAGGGUGGCCACCUUCUCACUGUGUCCUCACAUGGCCUUUCCUCUCUGCACAAGCGUUUCUCUUCCUAUAAGGACACCUGUCAUUUUGGAUUGGGGCUGCGCUCUUAUGACUCCAUGUAACCUUAGUUACCUCCACAAAGGCCCCGUCUCCAGAUACCGUCACUUUAGUGCUUCAGGUUUCAACAUAUGAAUUUGGAGAGGACACAAUUCAGUCCAUAAUCCCAGCUUCUAGGGGCUGCCUGCCUUCCUUGGCUCAUGGUCCUUCCAUCAUCUUCAAAGCCAGAAAUGAUUGGUCAAGCCUUUCUCAGGCUGCAUCUCUCCAGCUCAGCUUCUGAUGUCACGUCUCCUCUGACGCUCCCUCUUUCUUCUUUCCCUUAUA